AGCGAACGUUUGCGGCGGGCUUAACACAUGCAAGUCGAACGAGAAUCCCUUCGGGGAGGAAAGUGGCGCACGGGUGCGUAACACGUGGAUAACCAACCCAUUGGUUUGGGACAACACCGGGAAACUGGUGCUAAUACCAGAUGUGUCGCAGCUGUCUUCAGGCGGUUGCGAGAAAGGCCCGCAAGGGUCGCCAACGGACGGGUCCGCGUCCCAUCAGCUAGUUGGUGAGGUAAUGGCUCACCAAGGCAAAGACGGGUAGCUGGUCUGAGAGGAUGAUCAGCCACACUGGAACUGAGACACGGUCCAGACUCCUACGGGAGGCAGCAGUGGGGAAUAUUGCGCAAUGGGCGAAAGCCUGACGCAGCCACGCCGCGUGAGCGAUGAAGGUCUUCGGAUCGUAAAGCUCUGUGGGGGGAGAAGAAGAAAGCCGGUGAAGAGCCGGCCUGACGGUAUCCCCUUAGCAAGCACCGGCUAACUCCGUGCCAGCAGCCGCGGUAAAGUA
rnacentral:rRNA from 1 species